rnacentral:rRNA from 1 species
CCCUCUUCUUCCCUCUUUUUUCUUCCUUCUUUUUCUUCCCUCUCCUUUCUUCUGCUAUGUAAGUCGGUUGUGAAAGCCUUCCGCUUAACGGAAGAAUGGCGGUCGAAACUGCAUGGCUUGAGUGCGGGAGGGGAGAGUGGAACUUCUGGUGGAGCGGUGAAAUGCGUAGAUAUCAGAAGGAACGUCGGCGGCGAGAGCGACUCUCUAGACCGUAACUGACGCUGAGUGUGCGAAAGCUAGGGGAGCAAACGG